rnacentral:misc_RNA from 1 species
GAUGAAGAACGCAGCGAAAUGCGAUACUUGGUGUGAAUUGCAGAAUCCCGUGAACCAUCGAGUCUUUGAACGCAAGUUGCGCCCGAAGCCAUUAGGCCGAGGGCACGCCUGCCUGGGCAUCACACGUCGUUGCCCCCCCAUCUACUCCUUCGGGAUUGCGGGCGGCGGAUGAUGGCCUCCCGUGCGCCUCGUCGCGCGGUUGGCAUAAAUGCCAAGUCCUCGGCGACGCACGCCACGACAAUCGGUGGUUGCGAAACCUCGGUUGCCCGUCGUGUGCGGUCGUCGCGCAUCGAGGGCUCGAAAAAAUUGCCGGGCUCCGGCUCGGCUUUCAACGCGACCCCAGGUCAGGCGGGGUUACCCGCUGAAUUUAAGCAUAUCAAUAAGCGGAGGA